rnacentral:rRNA from 1 species
GGGCCACGGGGAAUGCCUUACNUAACGGCGAGUGAAGCGGCAAAGCUCAAAUUUGAAAUCUGGUACCUUCGGUGCCCGAGUUGUAAUUUGGAGAGGGCAACUUUGGGGCCGUUCCUUGUCUAUGUUCCUUGGAACAGGACGUCAUAGAGGGUGAGAAUCCCGUGUGGCGAGGAGUGCGGUUCUUUGUAAAGUGCCUUCGAAGAGUCGAGUUGUUUGGGAAUGCAGCUCUAAGUGGGUGGUAAAUUCCAUCUAAAGCUAAAUAUUGGCGAGAGACCGAUAGCGAACAAGUACAGUGAUGGAAAGAUGAAAAGAACUUUGAAAAGAGAGUGAAAAAGUACGUGAAAUUGUUGAAAGGGAAGGGCAUUUGAUCAGACAUGGUGUUUUGUGCCCUCUGCUCCUUGUGGGUAGGGGAAUCUCGCAUUUCACUGGGCCAGCAUCAGUUUUGGUGGCAGGAUAAAUCCAUAGGAAUGUAGCUUGCCUCGGUAAGUAUUAUAGCCUGUGGGAAUACUGCCAGCUGGGACUGAGGACUGCGACGUAAGUCAAGGAUGCUGGCAUAAUGGUUAUAUGCCGCCCGUCUUGAAACACGACCAAUCAG